GAUGAACGCUAGCGGGAGGCCUAACACAUGCAAGCCGAGCGGUAUUGUUUCUUCGGAAAUGAGAGAGCGGCGUACGGGUGCGUAACACGUGUGCAACCUGCCUUUAUCUGGGGGAUAGCCUUUCGAAAGGAAGAUUAAUACUCCAUAAUAUAUUGAACGGCAUCGUUUAAUAUUGAAAGCUCCGGCGGAUAGAGAUGGGCACGCGCAAGAUUAGCUAGUUGGUGAGGUAACGGCUCACCAAGGCGAUGAUCUUUAGGGGGCCUGAGAGGGUGAUCCCCCACACUGGUACUGAGACACGGACCAGACUCCUGCGGGAGGCAGCAGUGAGGAAUAUUGGUCAAUGGGUGCAAGCCUGAACCAGCCAUCCCGUGUGAAGGACGACUGCCCUAUGAGUUGUAAACUUCUUUUGUAUAGGGAUAAACCUACCCUCGAGAGGGUAGCUGAAGGUACUAUACGAAUAAGCACCGGCUAACUCCGU
rnacentral:rRNA from 1 species